CAAUACUUGAGCUAGAGUGUCGUACGGGUGCGUAACACGUAUGCAACCUACCUUUUACAGGAGUAUAGCUCCCCGAAAGGGGAAUUAACCCUCCAUAAUAUCAUUGGAUGGCAUCAUUUGAUGAUUAAAACUGAGGUGGUAAAAGAUGGGCAUGCGUCUGAUUAGUUAGUUGGCAGUGUAACGGACUACCAAGACGAUGAUCAGUAGGGGACCUGAGAGGGUGAUCCCCCACACUGGCACUGAGAUACGGGCCAGACUCCUACGGGAGGCAGCAGUAGGGAAUAUUGGACAAUGGGUGAGAGCCUGAUCCAGCCAUGCCGCGUGCAGGAAGAAGGCGUUAUGCGUUGUAAACUGCUUUUGCCAGGGGAUAAAACGGUUCUGCGGAACUAAUUGAAGGUACCUGGUGAAUAAGCCACGGCUAACUACGUGCCAGCAGCCGCGGUAAUACGUAGGUGGCAAGCGUUGUCCGGAUUUAUUGGGUUUAAAGGGUGCGUAGGCGGCCCUGUAAGUCAGUGCUGAAAUAUCCCGGCUUAACCGGGAGGGUGGCAUUGAUACUGCAGGGCUUGAGUACAGAUGAGGUAGGCGGAAUUGACGGUGUAGCGGUGAAAUGCAUAGAUAUCGUCAAGAACACCGAUAGCGAAGGCAGCUUACCAAGCUGUAACUGACGCUGAGGCACGAAAGUGUGGGGAUCAAACAGGAUUAGAUACCCUGGUAGUCCACACUGUAAACGUUGAUGACUCGAUGUUGGCGAUAUACAGCCAGCGUCCAAGAGCAAUCGUUAAGUCAUCCACCUGGGGAGUACGCCGGCAACGGUGAAAC
rnacentral:rRNA from 1 species